UUGAGGCGAGGCACGUCGCAGCUCCCUACAAUGCUGACAAAUUUCAUGUGAUGUUUGAUUCACUGGGAGGUUAGAUGUGAAAGUGGGGCUACUUCAGACCCAAGCACAUCUCUGUCAAGUGUCCUCCAAGGCCUCUUCUCUAGGGGUGUGUAGUGGUGAAAAGCCUGGUCGCAACCUUACAGCACUGGAGGAAUCACUGUGUCAAAACUGAUUUGGCAAGCAGACAAGCCUUUAAUGGUGAGCCUACCACAGCAUGGUGGCAGCCAAGUUUUUGCUGGCAGCAUUUUAAGAGAGUCCAAGACCCUCCUGAAACAGUACAGGCUGUUGCUGUUGUCCUUGGCAGUUUCCCAGAGGUUGAGGGUAAGUCCUCAUUGAUGGAGGUACAAUGUGCGUUGGACAUGGCAUGCAGG
rnacentral:sRNA from 1 species